rnacentral:rRNA from 1 species
GGGGAAUAUUGGACAAUGGGCGAAAGCCUGAUCCAGCCAUGCCGCGUGAGUGAUGAAGGCCUUAGGGUUGUAAUGCUCUUUUGGCGGGGACGAUAAUGACGGUACCCGCAGAAUAAGCCCCGGCUAACUUCGUGCCAGCAGCCGCGGUAAUACGAAGGGGGCUAGCGUUGUUCGGAAUUACUGGGCGUAAAGCGCACGUAGGCGGACUAGCAAGUCAGGGGUGAAAUCCCGGGGCUCAACCUCGGAACUGCCUUUGAUACUGCCAGUCUAGAGUCCGGAAGAGGUGGGUGGAAUUCCUAGUGUAGAGGUGAAAUUCGCAGAUAUUAGGAAGAACACCGGUGGCGAAGGCGGCCCACUGGUCCGGAACUGACGCUGAGGUGCGAAAGCGUGGGGAGCAAAC